rnacentral:rRNA from 1 species
UACAGAGGGUGCGAGCGUUAAUCGGAAUUACUGGGCGUAAAGCGCGCGUAGGCGGUUUUGUAAGUCGGGUGUGAAAUCCCCAGGCUCAACCUGGGAACUGCAUUCGAGACUGCAUGACUGGAGUAUGGGAGAGGACAGCGGAAUUUCCGGUGUAGCGGUGAAAUGCGUAGAUAUCGGAAGGAACAUCAGUGGCGAAGGCGGCUGUCUGGCCCAAUACUGACGCUCAUGUGCGAAAGCGUGGGGAGCAAACAGG